rnacentral:rRNA from 1 species
GGUUAAGUUAGAAAGGGCGCACGGUGGAUGCCUUGGCACUAGGAGCCGAAGAAGGACGGGACUAACACCGAUAUGCUUUGGGGAGCUGUACGUAAGCGUUGAUCCAGAGAUUUCCGAAUGGGGGAACCCACUAUCUUUAGUCGGAUAGUAUCCUUACGUGAAUACAUAGCGUGAGGAAGGCAGACCCAGGGAACUGAAACAUCUAAGUACCUGGAGGAAGAGAAAGAAAAAUCGAUUUCCUGAGUAGCGGCGAGCGAAACGGAAAGAGCCCAAACCAAGAAGCUUGCUUCUUGGGGUUGUAGGACACUCUAUACGGAGUUACAAAAGAAAGUUAUAAAUGAAGCGGUCUGGAAAGGCCCGCCAAAGACGGUAACAGCCCGGUAGUUGAAAUGGCUUUCCCUCCAGAGUGGAUCCUGAGUACGGCGGAACACGUGAAAUUCCGUCGGAAUCCGGGAGGACCAUCUCCCAAGGCUAAAUACUCCCUAGUGACCGAUAGUGAACCAGUACCGUGAGGGAAAGGUGAAAAGCACCCCGGAAGGGGAGUGAAACAGUUCCUGAAACCGUGUGCCUACAAGUAGUUAGAGCCCGUUAAUGGGUGAUAGCGUGCCUUUUGUAGAAUGAACCGGCGAGUUACGAUUUGUUGCAAGGUUAAGCGGAAAAAGCGGAGCCGUAGCGAAAGCGAGUCUGAAUAGGGCGCAUAAGUAACAGGUCGUAGACCCGAAACCAGGUGAUCUACCCAUGUCCAGGAUGAAGGUAAGGUAAUACUUACUGGAGGUCCGAACCCACGCACGUUGAAAAGUGCGGGGAUGAGGUGUGGGUAGCGGAGAAAUUCCAAUCGAACUUGGAGAUAGCUGGUUCUCUCCGAAAUAGCUUUAGGGCUAGCCUCGAGGUAAAGAGUCAUGGAGGUAGAGCACUGUUUGGACUAGGGGCCCUUCUCGGGUUACCGAAUUCAGAUAAACUCCGAAUGCCAUGUACUUAUACUCGGGAGUCAGACUGCGAGUGAUAAGAUCCGUAGUCGAAAGGGAAACAGCCCAGACCACCAGUUAAGGUCCCCAAAUAUAUGUUAAGUGGAAAAGGAUGUGGGGUUGCUUAGACAACCAGGAUGUUGGCUUAGAAGCAGCCACCAUUGAAAGAGUGCGUAAUAGCUCACUGGUCGAGUGACCCCGCGCCGAAAAUGUACCGGGGCUAAACAUAUUACCGAAACUGUGGAUGAACCUCUUUAGAGGUUCGUGGUAGGAGAGCGUUCUAAGGGCGGUGAAGUCAGACCGGAAGGACUGGUGGAGCGCUUAGAAGUGAGAAUGCCGGUAUGAGUAGCGAAAGAAGGGUGAGAAUCCCUUCCACCGAAUAUCUAAGGUUUCCUGAGGAAGGCUCGUCCGCUCAGGGUUAGUCGGGACCUAAGCCGAGGCCGAUAGGCGUAGGCGAUGGACAACAGGUAGAGAUUCCUGUACCAGUGCUAAUUGUUUAACCGAUGGGGUGACACAGAAGGAUAGGGAAUCGCACGAAUGGAAAUGUGCGUCCAAGCAGUGAGUGUGAGAAGUAGGCAAAUCCGCUUCUCACGGCGNNNNNNNNNNNNNNNNNNNNNNNNNNNNNNNNNNNNNNNNNNNNNNNNNNNNNNNNNNNNNNNNNNNNNNNNNNNNNNNNNNNNNNNNNNNNCACGAAGCAUGAGCUGUGAUGGGGAAGGAAAUUAAGUACGGAAGUUCCUGAUUUCACGCUGUCAAGAAAAGCCUCUAGGAAGAGUAGUACUGCCCGUACCGCAAACCGACACAGGUAGAUGAGGAGAGAAUCCUAAGGUGAGCGAGAGAACUCUCGUUAAGGAACUCGGCAAAAUGACCCCGUAACUUCGGGAGAAGGGGUGCUCUAUUAGGGUGCAAGCCCGAGAGAGCCGCAGUGAAUAGGCCCAGGCGACUGUUUAGCAAAAACACAGGUCUCUGCAAAACCGUAAGGUGACGUAUAGGGGCUGACGCCUGCCCGGUGCUGGAAGGUUAAGAGGAGUGCUUAGCUUCGGCGAAGGUACGAAUUGAAGCCCCAGUAAACGGCGGCCGUAACUAUAACGGUCCUAAGGUAGCGAAAUUCCUUGUCGGGUAAGUUCCGACCCGCACGAAAGGCGCAACGAUCUGGGCACUGUCUCAACGAGAGACUCGGUGAAAUUAUAGUACCUGUGAAGAUGCAGGUUACCCGCGACAGGACGGAAAGACCCCGUGGAGCUUUACUGCAACCUGAUAUGGAAUGUUUGUACCGCUUGUACAGGAUAGGUAGGAGCCGAAGAGACGUGUGCGCUAGCAUACGAGGAGGCAAUGGUGGGAUACUACCCUGGCUGUAUGACCAUUCUAACCCGCCACGCUUAGCGCGUGGGGAGACAGUGUCAGGUGGGCAGUUUGACUGGGGCGGUCGCCUCCUAAAGAGUAACGGAGGCGCCCAAAGGUUCCCUCAGAAUGGAUGGAAAUCAUUCGCAGAGUGUAAAGGCACAAGGGAGCUUGACUGCGAGACUGACAAGUCGAGCAGGGACGAAAGUCGGGCUUAGUGAUCCGGUGGUUCCGCAUGGAAGGGCCAUCGCUCAACGGAUAAAAGCUACCCCGGGGAUAACAGGCUUAUCUCCCCCAAGAGUCCACAUCGACGGGGAGGUUUGGCACCUCGAUGUCGGCUCGUCGCAUCCUGGGGCUGUAGUCGGUCCCAAGGGUUGGGCUGUUCGCCCAUUAAAGCGGCACGCGAGCUGGGUUCAGAACGUCGUGAGACAGUUCGGUCCCUAUCCGUCGCGGGCGCAGGAAAUUUGAGAGGAGCUGUCCUUAGUACGAGAGGACCGGGAUGGACACACCGCUGGUGUACCAGUUGUUCCGCCAGGAGCAUCGCUGGGUAGCUAUGUGUGGCAGGGAUAAACGCUGAAAGCAUCUAAGCGUGAAGCCCCCCUCAAGAUGAGAUUUCCCAUUUCUUCGGAAAGUAAGAUCCCUGAAAGAUGAUCAGGUAGAUAGGUUUGGAGUGGAAGUGUAGCGAUACAUGGAGCGGACAAAUACUAAUCGAUCGAGGACUUAACCAA